UUGAACGCUGGCGGAAUGCUUUACACAUGCAAGUCGAGCGGCAGCGCGGGGCAACCUGGCGGCGAGCGGCGAACGGGUGAGUAACAUAUCGGAACGUACCCUAUCGUGGGGGAUAACACAUCGAAAGAUGUGCUAAUACCGCAUACGACCUGAGGGUGAAAGCGGGGGAUCGCAAGACCUCGCGCGACAGGAGCGGCCGAUAUCGGAUUAGCUAGUUGGUGAGGUAAAGGCUCACCAAGGCGACGAUCCGUAGCUGGGCUGAGAGGACGACCAGCCACACUGGAACUGGGACACGGUCCAGACUCCUACGGGAGGCAGCAGUGGGGAAUUUUGGACAAUGGGGGCAACCCUGAUCCAGCCAUUCCGCGUGCAGGAUGAAGGCCUUCGGGUUGUAAACUGCUUUUGUACGGAACGAAACGGUUCUCUUUAAUAAAGAGGGCUAAUGACGGUACCGUAAGAAUAAGCACCGGCUAACUACGU
rnacentral:rRNA from 1 species